UGGUACUAUUUAUUUUGGUCCAACAAAAAAGUGGGUUACAAACGUUAUUCUGAACAUCCUAAAAUAUAUAAUCGUUCCAUAGAUCUGGGGUGUGUGCUUGUUUUUGAGCUGUUGAGAUGAUGCUUGUGUGCAAUAUUAAAGUUUUUUUUCAUCACCUCCAACCACUCGCUUGUAUGUUUGCAGAAGCAUCUCAUGUUUGAAUUGAUCAUUUAUUUAGAUCUACAGUACGUCCAAUAAUAAUUCAGUUGUGUUGUGUAUUUAACUAAGUAGAUGUUGACCGAUGGUUAAUUUCAAUGUUCAGCGGUACCAUUAAGUGGUGGUUCUAGAACUAAGCUUCGCAGUAUCUUUCUCAAGAAUAGAUUAUUAUUUUUGACUUGUCUUUUUGGCAAACUAGAGCAUCAGGUUGUAUUUAAAUUACUUAUUCCUUAGUAUCUAAACUAGAGCAUUAAGCUGUACUGUUUUUGUUCCUCAUUCAUGUGAGGACACCCAAGUAAGCAAGGGUUGCUUCUCUAGUUACCUACUCUUCAUAACUGACCGUUGUUCUUUUGUCAUGUGAUUUUGAAGAGAAUGUAUUUGUUGAUAGUGAGAGUGAGGAUAAUGAUGGGGUGAGUGAGGAUGGGGAAGAUGCUCCAUCCAUGCAUGAUCAGCAAGAGGCGCAAAUGCAAGUGGAAAAAGAGACACAAAUUCAAGUGGAAAAGGACGCACCUCCAAGAGAUGGCAAUUUGGAGACCCGUAGAUCUGUACGGCUUGUCAAGAAGAAGACCAAGGGCGUCAACAGCCUAUACCCUGUUGCUUAGAAAUCUGUUGGCAAGUCUCUUCUUUCUAGUGUUUUAUGAUUCAUGAUAAUUGCUUAGAAAUUUUUAGUUACUUGGAGCUGCUAGUUUCUUAGAUGUAUACACUUUCUAUCCAUGCCUAGCCUUCAUUGUCAUGUUAAGCAAUGUAUUUAUGUUAUCCUGAAAUGUUACCACUUGACUAUUGUUGCACUAGACACCUCCAUGUUAGUCCAUUUUAUUUCAUUAUGCACAAAGUGGAAGAAGAAAAUUUUGAUGUUGAACUACAUCCAUCCUGAUUUUCCUUUUGUAUGACAAUUGACAAAUGGCUAGUCCAAGCCAACAGUGGGUUGUUUGUGUCUAUGUUGUUUUCUUUGUAUCCUUAGAGUUUUGUUGUGCUCGAGUAAAAACUGUAAACUAGAAUUCAUCAUUCUAGUAUAUGGAGGCAUUUAACCUUUGCUCCUGAAGCUUUUUGGUGAAUAAAAAACUAUAUUGCUGUAGUAGAUUUGUUAUUUGAUUCAUGAGCAUGCAUAAAUUUGACUAUUGUUCUACUAGCCACUUGUCCUGUUAGUCCAUUUUAUUUUUAAUGCACAAAGUGGCAGAAGAUAAUUCCGAUGCAGAACUACCUCCAUCCUGACCCUUCCUAUGUUUUCUCUAAACCAUAAAUGGCACUUGAAGAAUAACUAAGGAUAUCAAGAAGCUUUUGGAUGUAGGCAAGCUUGGAGCUGCUGUUUCAAUGUCAUACUUUGAUAGUUGCCUUUUGGAGCUGUUGUUUCUAUGUGUAAUACUUUAAGUCUGUUGGCUGUACCGGACUAUUUAAACUCUGAACUAUGCUGUGAUGGUUGAACUGAUGUUGGACUGUUAAGGGUUAUGUUGGAGGCCACUUUAUAACUAAUGUGUGCCUGUUAUGUUGGACAGAUGCAGUUUUAUUAAUCCCUAGAGCUUAUUUGCUGAAAUUUACAUGAUCAAACCUGAUGGUUGUUGCGCUGCUAUAUUUGUGGCCUGUUUUAUUUCAAAU
rnacentral:lncRNA from 1 species